GGGCUUAUAGCGCAGUGGUAGCGCGCACGCUUUGCAUUGUGGCUGUGUGAGGUCCGGGGUUCAAUCCCCCGUGAGUCCA